ACUCCUACGGGAGGCAGCAGUGGGGAAUAUUGGACAAUGGGCGCAAGCCUGAUCCAGCCAUGCCGCGUGAGUGAUGAAGGCCUUAGGGUUGUAAAGCUCUUUUGUCCGGGACGAUAAUGACGGUACCGGAAGAAUAAGCCCGCUAGCUUACUGUGCCAGCAGCCGCGGUAAUACGAAGGGCGUAGCGUUGCUCGGAAUCACUGGGCGUAAAGGGCGCGUAGGCGGCCUUGUAAGUUGGGGUGAAAGCCCGUGGCUCAACCACGGAAUUGCCUUCGAUACUGCUUGGCUUGAGUGUGGUAGAGGUUGGUGGAACUGCGAGUGUAGAGGUGAAAUUCGUAGAUAUUCGCAAGAACACCGGUGGCGAAGGCGGCCAACUGGACCAUCACUGACGCUGAGGCGCGAAAGCGUGGGGAGCAAACAGGAUUAGAUACCCUGGUAGCGUCGUCUU
rnacentral:rRNA from 1 species